AGCAGCCGCGGUAAUUCCAGCUCCAAUAGCGUAUAUUAAAGUUGCUGCAGUUAAAAAGCUCGUAGUUGAAUUUCGGGACCAUCAUGUCGGUCGUGCCUCGGUACGUACUGGCAUUGUUGGUUUCUUUCUUCUGACGAACCAUGAUGUCAUUUAUUUGGUGUCGUGGGAAAUCAGGACUGUUACUUUGAAAAAUUAGAGUGUUUAAAGCAGGCUCACGCUUGAAUACAUUAGCAUGGAAUAAUGAAAUAGGACGUUUGAUUCUAUUUUGUUGGUUUCUAGGAUCGACGUAAUGAUUAAUAGGGAUAGUUGGGGGCAUUAGUAUUCAAUUGUCAGAGGUGAAAUUCUUGGAUUUAUUGAAGACUAACUACUGCGAAAGCAUUUGCCAAGGAUGUUUUCAUUAAUCAAGAACGAAAGUUAGGGGAUCGAAGACGAUCAGAUACCGUCGUAGUCUUAACCAUAAACUAUGCCGACUAGGGAUCGGAUGAU
rnacentral:rRNA from 1 species